rnacentral:rRNA from 1 species
GCAGACGCUCGUCUCCGAGACUAAGCCAUGCAUGCCCGCGAAGAAGGGAGCGGCGAACGGCUCAGUAGCACCGCGGCAAUCUGCCCCGCGCGAUCGAUAACCGCGGGAAACUGCGGCUAA